rnacentral:rRNA from 1 species
UACGAAGGGGGCUAGCGUUGUUCGGAAUUACUGGGCGUAAAGGGCGCGUAGGCGGUGUGUCAAGUCAGGCGUGAAAGCCCCGGGCUCAACCUGGGAACCGCGCUUGAGACUGGCACGCUAGAGUUCGGGAGAGGUGAGUGGAACUCCGAGUGUAGAGGUGAAAUUCGUAGAUAUUCGGAAGAACCCCAGUGGCGGAGGCGGCUCCCUGGGCCGGUACUGGCGCUGAUGUGCCAAAGCGUGGGGAGCAAACAGG